UCAUGGUGCUGUUUGUAUGAUCAAUGAUGGCUCAUUUAGGUCAUUGAAGGGACACCUGCCAUUUCCUCUCACCACCAUUUUACUACUUACAUAUGUACCAGAGCUCACACUGUGCAGGGUUUCCUUGGGUUUGUCUGUUACCUGGUAUCAUGAGACAGUGAGGUUUCCUUUUAUGUAGCUGAAUGUUACUCCAUUGUUUGAGGUAGGUGUGUGUGUGUGUGUGUGUGUGUGUAUGUGUGUGUGUGUGUGUAACUCACAUUGCUCCAGUGUUUUGUAAACACCACUUCUUGCUGCCUCUUAGCCUUUUGACAACAAUAUUCUAAAUACUAGGGUCUAAUGUAGCCUAGGCUGUCUUCAGGCUCACUCUGUAGCAGAGGCUGGUUUUAAAUUCCUGACCUUAUGCCUCUGCCCUCCCUGUGCUGGUGCACCCCACAUCAUUGUGGUUUCCAUUUGCAUGUUCUAGAUCUUUCUGUUGGCCACUCAAGCACCUUCUUUAGAAAAAUAUCUUUGCUUUUUUUUUAAGUGUAUUGAGUUGUAUCAAUUCCUUUUAUAUUUCAUGUAUAUUUCACCUUUUGAAUAUGUGAUUAACAGACGUUUUCUCUCCUGUCCUAGGCUGCCUCUUCAUUUUCACUAUUUUGUUUGUCUAGCGGAUGCCCUUUAGCCUGAUAUAGCUCCCGUUACUUGGGCUGGGUUUUAUACACUUUUAAUGUCAUAUCCCUAAAACCUCUGCCUAGAUUGAUUCUGCUGAGACUUUUCUUUGAUCCUUCUGAUAAUUUUACAAGUCAAGGGCUUACAUUAACGAUUUUAAUCUAUUUUGAGUUAAUCUACAUAUACUACAAGCUAAACCUCCGGUCUCAUUCCUUGACAUGUGGCUCGCCAGUUCUCCCUGGUACCCUUGCUGAGGAGGAGACCUUUUCCCUUUGUGCUUCCUUUCCCUUCCUGGCUGUGUGGAUGACAUUACAAUAGCUAAGGUUCCAGUGACCCGUGUAUCUGUUUCUGUGCUACCAGGAACCAGUACUGAGUACUCAACUUUGUAAUAGUAAUUAAGGGACUGAAAAUCACUUGCAGCCCCUUCUGUAUAAAACCAUAGUAGGUCCAUUUUAAUAUCUCUAGUCUUUUUAAGAGAAGGUUUUAACUCCCAAGAAUGCUCUUGGUAGACUUUAUUUUCAUUUUUAUUUAUUUAUUUACUUAUUUAUUUAUUUUUUGUUUUUUGAGACAAAAAUUAAAGGCGUGUGCCACCACUGCCUGGCUCUUGGUUGACUUUAAAGACUUCAUUGCAACUGAUCACUGAAUAGUAGUUAUAAAGUUAAAAAUCGCAGCUAGCUGCCGCGAUUUUUUUUUUUUUCCCUUUUCAAAUGUGCAUUGGUGUUUUGCCUGUAUGUAUGUCUGUAUGAGGGUAUUGGUCCUCUGGAACUAGAGUUACAGACAGUUGUUGAGAAUUGAACCUGGGUUCUCUGGAAGAGCAGCCAGAGCUCUUUUUUGUUUGUUUGUUUGUUUGUUUUUUUGUUUUUCGAGACAGGGUUUCUCUGUAUAGCUUUGGCUGUCCUGGAACUCACUUUGUAGACCAGGCUGGCCUCGAACUCAGAAAUCCACCUGCCUCUGCCUCCCAAGUGCUAGGAUUAAAGGCGUGUGCCACCACUGCCCCGCUCUUAACAUGUGUGCCAUUUCUCCAGCUCUAGGUGCUGGGAUGUAAAGAUGGGACACCAUGGUACCAAAGAAUAUGCACAGCCAAGUGUAGAUAAAAAGUUACCAAUGGUAACUUUGUUUAAAAAUGAUGUUUGCAGAAAACCUGGUAGGUGAGGCAGGGGUAUAGUAUUCUGAAACCACCCGGUUUUGCUUUAGAAGUGCUGGGGUUAUAGGCCUCCACUGUCAGAGUUAGCUAUUUCUAUU
rnacentral:lncRNA from 1 species